CGGGGACUGGGGCCCCAGCCUUGAGAAGGGAGGGCCGGGGGCGGUCCUCCGGUGACCAGCCCCGCUGCCGCCGCGGGCUUUCUGUGUGAAGCUCCUUGAGGCCCCAGCUCUGGCCAUUUCCUUCUCCAGCUCUAGCCUUUUUCUUUAUCCAUCCCCUCGUCCUCGCCGUAUCCUUCAGAUCCGUGGGGGUCGGGGGGAGUGCAGCAUCCUCUGGCUGAGCUCCUUUGCUGAAGUCUCAUUCCACCUCCACUCGCAGCUCAUUUCCAGAUGAAUUUCUUCUAAGGCCAGAAAGUGAGCUGAUUACCCAGAAGGAAGCAGAACCAACAAGAUAAACCACUCCUUGCCCAUCAGCCAGGGCCCAGGUGAAACCACAGAGGAACUGGAGAGAUGAACAAGAGUGCUGCUUCCAUGGUAAAGGAGAUUUCCUCAGCCACUGCUAAGAAACGCAUCUCACAUUUCUGAGAUAGCAAAUCUAGAAGGAAAUUAUGUCUCAGCUCUUUGCUAGCUGUGUAACACAUGACUUGGAUCUUAGCUUUUCAAGGACUACCUUCCAUCUUUUUUUAUGCAAACAGAAGCAUGCCAUCUUGGAGUGUUUGUAAAACCGUGCAGGCAUGAUAUAAGGAAAUCAAGAAAAGUCCACAUUCUUGCACUGCGCAAGUCUCGAAACCACAGAUAGAUGCAAAAAGUCGAGUUUCUCUUAAGACAAGAUAUCAGGAAUCUAUCAUUUUUAAAUUUUAAACAGAUUUUUACUAUGUAGCCAAGCCUGGCCUUGAACUCACAAUCCAGUCUUUUACUCCGAGUGCUGGGAAGACAGGUUUCUUCCCCGUGAAGAUAUCUCAUUUAGAGGUGGAAGUGCUUUUGGAAAUCAAGAUCUUCUCAGUUCUCAAACUGCUUCUCAGGUUCAUCACUAGGAUACAUUUAUUACAGCUCUCUGUGUGUGCACAUGUGUGCAUGCAUACACAAGAGUAAGGUUUGGCCCACUCUACAUGAGUAAAGUACUAGAAAGUACAAACGUCUUCUGUGUUAGGUCUCUUUGGACCACAUUUUCUUCCAGGGGCCCUGCUACCACCCACCUUAGGAUUUUAACAGUGAUUGGGAGAUGUGAGGCACUUCUAUCUGCCAUUAGAAUGAAACAGACCUAUGGAUAUAAGAUGCUAUAAAGUUCCAGGGCCACUUUCAAACAUAAUAACCUUUCUUGAUAUUAACUUACCCGCUUGAAACAUAUAUUAGGGGGCUGGAGAGAUGGCUUAGCAGUUAAGGCACUUGCCUGAAAAGCCUAAGGACCCAGGUUCAGUCCACCAGUACCCACAUAAGCCAGGUGGCGCA